rnacentral:tRNA from 1 species
GACACUUUGGCCGAGUGGUUAAGGCGAUGCCCUGCUAUCUCGAGAGAUAACUCCAGGCAUUGUGUUCGCACGCGCAGGUUCGAAUCCUGCAGGUGUCG